AGUGAACGCUGGCGGCGUGCCUAAUACAUGCAAGUCGAACGCGAAAGUCCUUCGGGAUGAGUAAAGUGGCGCACGGGUGAGUAAUACAUGGGAACAUGCCCUUGGAUGGGGAAUAACGUUUGGAAACGAACGCUAAUACCGCAUAAUCUCGCGAGAGUAAAGGUGGCGCCGCAAGGGCUACCGUCCAAGGAUUGGCCCAUGUCCCAUUAGCUAGUUGGCGGGGUAAUGGCCCACCAAGGCAACGAUGGGUAACUGGUCUGAGAGGAUGAUCAGUCACACUGGAACUGAGACACGGUCCAGACUCCUACGGGAGGCAGCAGUAUGGAAUAUUGCACAAUGGGGGAAACCCUGAUGCAGCAACGCCGCGUGAGUGAAGAAGGCCCUUGGGUUGUAAAGCUCUUUAGCGUGGGAAGAAGGUAGAUAUGGUGAAUAAUCAUGUUUGCUGACGGUACCACGAGAAUAAGCACCGGCUAAUUUCGUGCCAGCAGCCGCGGUAA
rnacentral:rRNA from 1 species